GAUAUUUGCCUGCUUUUGAUUUUUAGUCGAAGGGCAGCGUUUGGGUACCUUCCAUCACUGCUGCCAAUUUCAAAAAGGCACAGUCCCACGUCGAUGGCGCUUGUGCAAAGCAUGUUCCCAAUGGAUUGCCCCGUUAGCAGAGAAGCUGAAACGGUUGAUUCAAAAGUAGUAUUUUAUCAAAUAAGCGUGAAGUUCUAGAAAUUCCAAAAGCUUUAAAAAAAAAAAAAAAAGUAGAAAAGGAAAAUUCUUUCCUGGCAUCCGUCUAUUUCCCUGUCCUCAUUUGCCUGCUUUUCAGGGUGGCAUUCCUUGGGUUUCAAGCAGUUACUAAGUGGAGGGUGGCUUAUUUAGGAUGCUGACAGUUAUUCUCAAUAGCCCAUCGAGAAAGGCACAAAGAGUUUUGCAAACAACCCACCUGCCUACACAUCCACCUGCUAAUGACUUGUUGCAUCAAAGGGGAAACAAAAAAUGUUCCUCUGCCUAGUUGCGUGGAGGAAAUUACCGCUCAGCAGAGGCAACUGCGUUGAGUUGCUCUUGACAAGACUGGCCUAGCAGCAGAACAGAUGCUGUGAACAGCUGGUGCAUUGCUUUUAUUCUCCCUUCUUUGCAAAAUUCGAAAUAGGAUAUUCAGUGGGAAGGAACUGCUUGGGGGUGAAAAAAAAAAAAAAGUCCACUGUUAUUAACAAAUUGGUCAUAGCAGUGCAUGAUUGAGGAAAGAUACUUCUAAAAGCCAAAAAGAGUUGUAUUUGUAGAUUGUUAUUUUAAAAAAAUGUAAAUAACUGAAUUUUCCGCAACGAUUUGGAGUCAGCUUGCUUGGUGAAAAGAACGCCCAAUAUCCCCCUUUUAAAGGAAAAUUAUCGCAGGAGAAUUCAGGAUGUCUUAAAGCUAACAUGCACCGAAAAACUCAAAAGGAGGUGCUCAGCUGUUUGGACUUAGACUGGCUUUUGCUGAGGACGAGUUGGGUAUGCCUUGUGCAGCUAUUCCUACUUCACAGCUAUGGAAUUAAAAAAAUAGGUGGAAUUUUCCAAUCCAGGACGAUGAUGAGGCAACUUUAUACUGGGGUGCAUUUAUAUCAACAUGCAAAUAUUCUAGUUUUUGUAUACUGUAUUGAAGUAGGGCUCUAAAGCUUUGAGUUGGAUUUGAUUUUAUAUCAUGUGCCUUUUAGUUCAGCCUACUGUCAGUGGCACUAAUCCUAAAAUGUGAAGUUGCCAAUAAAUGUCUAGAUCUCAGGGUCUACA
rnacentral:lncRNA from 1 species